rnacentral:rRNA from 1 species
AGCAGCCGCGGUAAUUCCAGCUCCAAUAGCGUAUAUUAAAGUUGUUGCAGUUAAAAAGCUCGUAGUUGAAUUUCGGGAUCAAAUUGUUGGUCGUGCCCCGGUACGCACUGGUAUUAUUGGUUCCUACCUUCUGAAGAACCGCGAUGUCAUUAAUUUGGUGUCGUGGGGAAUCAGGACUGUUACUUUGAAAAAUUAGAGUGUUUAAAGCAGGCUUACGCUUGAAUACAUUAGCAUGGAAUAAUGAAAUAGGACGUUUGAUUCUAUUUUGUUGGUUUCUAGGAUUGACGUAAUGAUUAAUGGGGAUAGUUGGGGCAUUAGUAUUCAAUUGUCAGAGGUGAAAUUCUUGGAUUUAUUGAAGACUAACUACU